rnacentral:misc_RNA from 1 species
GGAGAUAUUUCAAUAGGAUAGUCCAAGACAAAAGUCGGUUGUAGAAGCUUUGGUUCUACUACCAUCUCAAAGACCUCAUUAAGCAAAUGGCCAACAGAAGAGCAUGCUUCAAUUGAACUCUUAUCCAGAUCACAACCAAGAAUAUCAAUUGCUUUACGAGUAUGUUCUUUAGCAGCUUUAAGAUCGUCCUCGAAGUUUUUAAAAUCAAUCCCUGUAGCUUCUUUCACAAGAUUAUGCAUUGUUUCCCUCCUCCAAGGUCUUUCCAAGCAGAUCUCCACACCCUGGUAAUCAAUUUUAAGCUUCCCAUUAACUGCAAGGGCACAUCGUGUCACAAUCUCUUCUCAAUGGUGGUGAAUUCAGGAUUAUGACGAGUUGAAAUGCCUUCAUUGCGGAAUAUACGGCC